CAGACCGCUAUGGAGAGGAACCGCAGGCUCCUAGAGGAUGUGAGGAAGACUAAGGAGCUGUUGAGCCAGAGCCAGAUGACUGACCCACAUCUCCUGUCUCUUGAGACCCAGUACUAGGUGUCUGUGGAGGCCCAGAUCCCCACAUGGCAGGGCUCCCUGCUGGGUGCCGCCCCGGGCCCUGGCCCCGCUCUGGACCCCGACCCCGCUCGUCCUCCCAGCAGAGAUCAGCUGCAGCCAAGGACCCCAGCCGUCCCCCUCUCCCCAGGCCCCGGGGUCCUCUGUAGUCCCCCGACUACAGAACCCCUCACGUGGAGGGGUUCAGAGCUCUGGAUGG